rnacentral:rRNA from 1 species
UACGUAGGGUGCGAGCGUUAAUCGGAAUUACUGGGCGUAAAGCGUGCGCAGGCGGUUUUGCAAGCCGGAUGUGAAAUCCCCGGGCUAACCUGGGAAUGGCAUUCGGGACUGCAAGGCUGGAGUGCGGCAGAGGAGACUGGAAUUCCUGGUGUAGCAGUGAAAUGCGUAGAUAUCAGGAGGAAUACCGAUGGCGAAGGCAGGUCUCUGGGCUGACACUGACGCUCAUGCACGAAAGCGUGGGGAGCAAACAGG